AACUAGCUAACCUGAAACCUUUAGAAACUAUAGGGGAAACACGGUUAUGUGUCACACAUGGCUGAGACACACGCCCGUGUCUUAGGCCGUGUGGACAAGAAAAUAGCCACUUUCAAGCCAUUUCUUUCACCCUUUCAAGCAUAACCUACAAGAAAUUUCUACAUGUAUAUUGUAGUAGCCUAAAUUCAUCCGGCCCGAACAAAAAUAAACAAAAACCAAAAAAUAAAUAAAAAUAAUAAAAAAAGUCCAUGAUUAAAGUCCAUUUACAAAGAUGAUGGCCCAAAUACAAAAAACCAUUAUACCUAAUAACCUAAAGUCCAAUACCCCACUAUCUUAAAACCUAAACGGAAAAAAGAAAACCCUAUGUCUUUAGUGCCACCGUCGUUCUUACCGCGUCAGCAGGCACACCCCUUUGCCACCAUCGCUACGAGUACCUGCAAAAAAGAGAAAAAAAAACAAGAAUAGAGACCCAGAGACACAGGAGAAUGAUAGAAACAGAAAAGGACAGAAACAAACAAAAAAAAAGAAAAAAAUAUGUUGUAAUAUUCAGCUAUAAAGCCGAAGCCACCAUGUAACACAAGAAAAAACAACAAGAAAGAAUCAAGAUAAUAC
rnacentral:lncRNA from 1 species